rnacentral:misc_RNA from 1 species
AUUUUUGAAAAAAAAGAUUCGGUGUCUCGUGAUCGAUCCCAGUUACGUGCAUAUUCAGGAGUAUACCAUCUAUCUGACAAACUGAAAUGGGUCCACAUUGGAAGUGUUAUUCUGAUGAAGAACUUGAAGUCCAGUAUUCUCCUAGUAAGUGGUCAACACGUGAGGAUGCUGUCGGGACAUACUUAGAUAUAAUAGGAAAAGGCAGUAUCCAUGUAAGGAAUACCCUUGAAUGUCAUCUUAAUAUCCAAUAUGGAGAUUUAUCAGAUGAAAAAGUGGACAUAUUCUGUCCAGCAUCACUACCAAAAGAUGCUCCGGUGUUUGUGUAUAUACAUGGGGGAUACUGGCAGUUGAAUUGUUUAGAAUUGAACUGCUACAUGGCUGAGACAUUUUACAAAGCUGGAGCUGCAACUGCCACUAUAGGAUAUGCCAAGGCUCCAUCAGUGAGCCUGGCACAUAUAACUGAGACAAUUAAGAAAGGAGUGGAACUUGUCUUACAAUGGGCAAUGGACAGGGGCUCAAGGGGUGUAUGCAUAUCAGGGCAUUCUGCAGGAGGUCAGCUGGUGGCAAUGAUGCUUUCUCAUAACUGGAACAAAAAGUUUAAUGGGAUCUUAAAAGGUGUGGUCCCUAUAUCUGCUGUAACUGAUGUGAGACCUGUAAUAAGAAUGAGCGUCAAUGAUGCCCUAAAAGCCACUGAAGAGGAAGCCUGGCAGUACAGCCCAUUGAACCAUGUAGAAUCUGCAGCCUUAUGCAAUAAAGAGGUGGAGGUGUUAGUGGUAGUAGGUGGGUUAGACAGCCCAGAGUUUAUAAGGCAGAGCAAAGAGUACACUGAUGCAUUGUUGGCAAAGGGACUGUCAGCAACGUACAUGGAGCUACCAGAGAUUGAUCAUUUUCAACUUGUAGAAAACCUUGAAGACCCACACUUUCCACUAACCAAGACAAUUUUUAGAAUGAUGGGACUUUAAUACACUAGAGAAAAUCGGAGAAGAUAAAACAAUAAUUGACACAGAAAGGAAAAUAUCUGCAUUAUUAACAAAUACAUUCCAGACUGUGGGAUGGGAAAUAAGGAUAUUUCGACAAAUUCAAGUAUGUGAGAACUGUUAAAAUAUCAGUUUUAUGUCCAUGUUGCAUCUUUACAAAUGAAACGAUUAUGUUAAAUUUGUUUGUAGAUGAAAUGAAGCUUGUACAGUUAAUGUGUAAUUGUAACAGGAAUUAAUCAGAUUUUUAUAUGUAAAUGACACAGUCACAUAAAUGAUGUACUGUUACUUUAAUGACUGACAAUCGCAUAAUACAAGGUAUGUACUAUAUAGGUACUGUAUGUGUAAGACUUACAAUCACAUGACAUGUACUGUAUGUUUAAUGACUUACAAUUGCAAAGUAUGUGUAGCGACUUCUAUAGUGUAGAAGUUAUGAAACAGUUAGACAACAAAUUUACAAAGUUAAAUUUUAUAUUUUUAAUACAGUCUUUUGACAUUUGAUACACAUUAUAUUGAAUUCUGUGUGUAAGAAAUUAAUUGUAGCAUUGAUAAUUGUGAUAAAUUAAAGUGAUAAAACAAUAGUGUAAAUAUAAUAGCAGGAUGUAAAAGAUAUCUCCACCAAACUCAAUAGGAACCCAGGACACUUUAAUAAAUUUUACAAAUACAAAUACAAAAUUAUUAGGAAUUUUGCACUAGAAACAAUUUUACCUCAUUGAAAAACCAGAUCCAGAGUGAUGGAUAUUGGAUAAUAUCAGUCACAGAAUCUCUCACUAUAAAUGGUUUUAGCUUUGACAAAUUUUGUUCAAUUUACACUUCGAAUGUAACAUGUGUGUUAUUUGUCUAUGUUCACUGAUAUCAUUUAAAUGAACAUGAAAUAUUUUAUAUUAAGACAGUAAAAUGGCAAAACAAGCAAAAAAAGAAAAUUGUAAGGUCAACAGGCAAAAUUGUAUAC